rnacentral:rRNA from 1 species
UCGAGAAUUUUUCACAAUGCGCGCAAGCCUGAUGGAGCGACGCCGCGUGGGGGAUGAAUGGCUUCGGCCCGUAAACCCCUGUCAUUCGCGAUCAAAUGUUGUUCUUUCAAAGAUGACAGCCUGAUAGUCGCGGAAGAGGAAGGGACGGCUAACUCUGUGCCAGCAGCCGCGGUAAUACAGAGGUCCCGAGCGUUGUUCGGAUUCACUGGGCGUAAAGGGUGCGUAGGUGGUGAGGUAAGUCGGAUGUGAAAUCUCGGAGCUUAACUCCGAAAUGGCAUUGGAAACUGCCUUGCGAGAGGUUCGGAGGGGGGACUGGAAUACUUGGUGUAGCAGUGAAAUGCGUAGAUAUCAAGUGGAACACCAGUGGCGAAGGCGAGUCCCUGGACGAAACCUGACACUGAGGCACGAAAGCUAGGGGAGCAAACA